GUCACGUGGAAAUCGGCACGUGCGCAGAGCUGGGGGAGCUCACAGUUUAACGGGAGACACACUCACAGAGCAUGUGUCUGCCUGGAAUGCCCUGCAAGAGGAGUCUGACUGGGGCAAGUGCUGGGCGGAUGUGGCACCGAGGAGGGGAUGGCUGGUUCUACCCGACGGAGCUGAGGAGUGUGUCCACAGGGAAGGUGACAGUCAAGGGAAGACUCAAAAGGAGGCUGGGGGCCACUGGUGGAUUUCACGAGGGAGGCUGAGAGCGUCAGGCCUCCUUCAUGCCAGGCCUGGACCAUGGAGAGGAAGCCACUUUCUGUCCCCAAGGAGCUCAAAUCUGGUGGGAAAGGAGCCACUGGAGUAG